GGAGAGGUGGCUCAGUGGUUAAGAGCACUGGCUGCUCUUCCAGAGGUCCUGAGUUCAAUUCUCAGCAACUACA
rnacentral:tRNA from 1 species